GACGAACGCUGGCGGCGUGCUUAACACAUGCAAGUCGAACGGAGUGGCGACCGGGUGAGUAACACGUGGGUGACCUGCCCUGCACUUCGGGAUAAGCCUGGGAAACUGGGUCUAAUACCGGAUAGUGUGGGAUGGGCCCGCGGCCUAUCAGCUUGUUGGUGGGGUAAUGGCCUACCAAGGCGGCGACGGGUAGCCGGCCUGGGCGGGGGGACGGCCACAUUGGGACGGAGGCACGGCCCAGACACCGACGGGAGGAAGCAGUGGGAAAUAUCGCAAAAUGGGCGGAAGACUGAUGCAGCGACGCCGCGUGGGGGAUGACGGCCUUCGGGUUGAAAACUCCUUUAAACAUCGACGCGGUAGAUGGAGAAGAAGCACCGGCUAACUACGUGCCAGCAGACGCGGUAAUUC
rnacentral:rRNA from 1 species